rnacentral:rRNA from 1 species
GCAAGUCGAACGGUAACAUAAGAGCUUGCUCUUGAUGACGAGUGGCGCACGGGUGAGUAACGCGUAUGCAAUCUACCUAUAACUGAGGGAUAGCCCAGAGAAAUUUGGAUUAAUACCUCAUAAUAAUAUUUUUUGGCAUCAUUAAAUAUUUAAAACUCCGGUGGUUAUAGAUGAGCAUGCGUUCUAUUAGUUUGUUGGUGAGGUAAAGGCUCACCAAGACUACGAUAGAUAGGGGGCCUGAAAGGGUGAUCCCCCACACUGGUACUGAGACACGGACCAGACUCCUACGGGAGGCAGCAGUGAGGAAUAUUGCACAAUGGAGGAAACUCUGAUGCAGCCAUGCCGCGUGCAGGAUGACGGCCCUAUGGGUUGUAAACUGCUUUUUUACAAGAAGAAACCUUGGUACGUGUACCAACUUGACGGUAUUGUAAGAAUAAGCACCGGCUAACUCCGUGCCAGCAGCCGCGGUAAUACGGAGGGUGCAAGCGUUAUCCGGAUUUAUUAGGUUUAAAGGGUUCGCAGGCGGAAUUUUAAGUCAGUGGUGAAAGCCUAUAGCUCAACUAUAGAACUGCCAUUGAUACUGAGAUUCUUGAGUAUAGAUGAAGUGGGCGGAAUAUGUCAUGUAGCGGUGAAAUGCAUAGAUAUGACAUGGAACACCAAUUGCGAAGGCAGCUCACUAAACUAUUACUGACGCUCAUGAACGAAAGCAUGGGGAGCGAACAGGAUUAGAUACCCUGGUAGUCCAUGCUGUAAACUAUGAUCACUAGAUGUUGGCGAUAUAUUGUCAGUGUUUUAGAGAAAUCGUUAAGUGAUCCACCUGGGGAGUACGUU